GGACAGGCAUGUGAGGAGGAAGCCAUCUUGGACGUCUUGGCCAACCCAGCUUCAGAUUGACUCCAGCCCUAGCCCUCUCUGACUGCAACCUCAUGAGAGAUCCCAAGUGAGAACUGUCCAGCUGAGCCCAGAACCCCACAGAACUGCUGGAGAAAAUAGUACAUUGUUGUUUUAAGGCAGUAUGUUUUGGAGUGGUUUGCUACAGAACAAUACUGGAACAGGUAGCUGUGUAUAGGAGUUGCUGCUAGUUUCCCAUUUUCUUGGACUCGGUAACUUGGCACCCUUACCAGAGGUGCUGAUAAAGAUCCAGAUCUGGCUCUACUCAUUGCCUGAUUGGCUAGAACUUUACACAUCUGGAUGACAGAAAGAUACAACUCCAAAGAUGAGGAAACGAAGACGCAGCAUGACUGAUUUUCUCCAUGGUAGCACAACUCUGCAGCCAGCGCUUGAAUCCAGGUCCCUCUGACUCUACUGAACAUCCUCUCUCCCCUUCCCAAAUGCCCCAUUCAGAGCACAGGUCCAGGUAUCAGAAGAUGUACAUCUAGCCCCCUCUCAACUAGAAGCUGGGAGUGCGUCAAUGAGCAAAUGGCACAGCCUCUUUGGGUCUAGUUACCUCAGAAUAGGGGUUGUAAAUCCAAUGCACCGGUGCAGCAGUGGAAGGAGCUGCAGGGGCUCCAGAAGCACGACGGACCUGGAGGAGACUGUAUGCACAAUUGCCCAGAUUAUCUCCCCAGCAUCCGUUGAGGCUGCUGGAGAGUGUUGGCUAUUUCUUGGAACUCUGGAAGGAGGUGACAACAGGAGGAGAAGAUGAGUUGGGAGGAUGGAGGAAGAUAGACUCUCCUCUCCCACGAACAGGGAGGAGGCAGGAAAAGGAAAGAACGAGUUGGAGACGGCUUGCCCAUUUUGUCUUCCUACAAGGCUGCAGGGUCCAAUAACCUCUUCAUGAGUUACAAGGCUCCAACCCACAGGAAUCUUAUGAAUGGAAACCUUAGAAGGGAGUUAAAGGUGGAAAAGUGGGGUGCCCCUCCAGGAUCUGUCACUGCACAGCUGCCUGACAGCAAACACUAGUGGCAACACCUGGUGCACGAGAAAGCCUCGUUUCAGAGAUGAUACCACGACUGCAACUGUUUGAUUUUGCCUGGGAAACUCCAAGCCCUGCACAGCACCGUGCUACAGAUCCCUUCGGCAACUCUGUGUGAAGAGGAAGGGGCAGGAAUCAUUGGUCCCUUAUAUGGCUGGGAAAACGGAGCCCCAAAGACUUAGGUUGGGGCACAGCUCCAAGGUUUCUUUGCAGCCAUACAAUGGCCUUGACUCCCUAUACGGAUAUUUCUGUUAAUUUUUUUUUUU